rnacentral:rRNA from 1 species
GGUAGUAGCAAAUAUUCAAAUGAGAGCUUUGAAGACCGAAGUGGAGAAAGGUUCCAUGUGAACAGCAGUUGGACAUGGGUUAGUCGAUCCUAAGAGAUAGGGAAAUUCCGUUUGCAAGCGCCCGAUCUUGGGCCGCCUAUCGAAAGGGAAUCGGGUUAAUAUUCCCGAACCGGGACGCGGAUAUUGCCGUUCGCGGCAGAUGCGGUAACGCAAACGAACCCGAAGACGCUGGCGGGGGCCCUGGGAAGAGUUCUCUUUUCUUUUUAACGAGCUUUCACCCUGAAAUCAGCUUGCCUGGAGAUAGGGUUUAAUGCUCGGUAAAGCACCACACUUCUUGUGGUGUCCGGUGCGCUCUCGACGGCCCUUGAAAAUUCGGGGAAGACAUUGAUUUUCGUGUCCGGUCGUAAUCAUAACCGCAGCAGGUCUCCAAGGUGAGCAGCCUCUAGUU